rnacentral:rRNA from 1 species
UACGGGGGGGGGCAAGCGUUGUUCGGAAUUACUGGGCGUAAAGGGCUCGUAGGCGGCCAACUAAGUCGGAUGUGAAAUCCCCAGGCUUAACUUGGGAACUGCAUCCGAUACUGGAUGGCUUGAAUCCGGGAGAGGGAUGUAGAAUUCCAGGUGUAGCGGUGAAAUGCGUAGAUAUCUGGAGGAAUACCGGGUGGCGAAGGCGGCAUCCUGGACCGAAACUGACGCUGAGGCGCGAAAGCUAGGGGAGCAAACGGGG